GUAGUCUCGCACAGAUGCAUAUCAAUAAGCGGAGGAAAAGAAACUAACAAGGAUUCCCCUAGUAACGGCGAGUGAAGCGGGAAGAGCUCAAAUUUGAAGUCUUAAAGGGUUUCCCUUUACGAAUUGUAGUUUAAAGAAGUGUUUUCUGUUGAGGUUUUGGUAAAAGUUCUUUGGAAUAGGACAUCAUAGAGGGUGAGAAUCCCGUAUUUGACCUUUACUUUCAACUUUGUGAUACACUUUCAAAGAGUCGGAUUGUUUGGGAAUGCAGUCCAAAAUGGGUGGUAAAUUUCAUCUAAAGCUAAAUAUUGGCGAGAGACCGAUAGCGAACAAGUACCGUGAGGGAAAGAUGAAAAGAACUUUGAAAAGAGAGUUAAACAGUACGUGAAAUUGUCAAAAGGGAAGCGUUUGACACCAGUGUUGUUUUUCUGAAAAUCAAUUAAAGAACUGUUUAUGCUAAGCUGUUUAGACUUUAUCAGCUAUCUGUUUAGUUUUGAGCUUUUCUUUAAUGCACUUUUCAGUUAACAAGUCAACAUCAAUUUCUUUUGCUGUAAAAAAGCUUGAGGAAGGUGGCUUGAGAUUCGUCUUAAGUGUUUAUAGCCUCUUGCCUAUGCAGUCGGAGAGAUUGAGGUCUGCAGCGUAGAUCCUUCGGGGCUAAAUGCAUUUGUGCUAAGUUAUAGCAUUUUAUAGACAACUUGUUGACUAUGAUUUGUCUUGUAGCUUACUCGCUUAUGUUAUUUUACCUACGCUUAGGAUGUUGAACUACUGAGACAUAGA
rnacentral:rRNA from 1 species